AGAGUUUGAUCAUGGCUCAGGACGAACGCUGGCGGCGUGCUUAACACAUGCAAGUCGAACGGAAAGGCCCUUCGGGGUACUCGAGUGGCGAACGGGUGAGUAACACGUGGGUGAUCUGCCCUGCACUUUGGGAUAAGCCUGGGAAACUGGGUCUAAUACCGAAUAGGACCGCAUGCUUCAUGGUGUGUGGUGGAAAGCUUUUGCGGUGUGGGAUGGGCCCGCGGCCUAUCAGCUUGUUGGUGGGGUAAUGGCCUACCAAGGCGACGACGGGUAGCCGGCCUGAGAGGGUGUCCGGCCACACUGGGACUGAGAUACGGCCCAGACUCCUACGGGAGGCAGCAGUGGGGAAUAUUGCACAAUGGGCGCAAGCCUGAUGCAGCGACGCCGCGUGGGGGAUGACGGCCUUCGGGUUGUAAACCUCUUUCAGUAUCGGCGAAGCUCCAGGAUUUUUCUUGGGGUGACGGUAGGUACAGAAGAAGCACCGGCCAACUACGUGCCAGCAGCCGCGGUAAUACGUAGGGUGCGAGCGUUGUCCGGAAUUACUGGGCGUAAAGAGCUCGUAGGUGGUUUGUCACGUUGUCCGUGAAAACUCACAGCUUAACUGUGGGCGUGCGGGCGAUACGAGCAGACUGGAGUACUGUAGGGGAGACUGGAAUUCCUGGUGUAGCGGUGGAAUGCGCAGAUAUCAGGAGGAACACCGGUGGCGAAGGCGGGUCUCUGGGCAGUAACUGACGCUGAGGAGCGAAAGCGUGGGGAGCGAACAGGAUUAGAUACCCUGGUAGUCC
rnacentral:rRNA from 1 species